UACGAAGGGGGCUAGCGUUGUUCGGAUUUACUGGGCGUAAAGCGCGUGUAGGCGGGUCGUUAAGUCGGGGGUGAAAGCCCGAGGCUCAACCUCGGAACUGCCUUCGAUACUGCGGGUCUCGAGUCCGGGAGAGGUGAGUGGAAUUCCUAGUGUAGAGGUGAAAUUCGUAGAUAUUAGGAAGAACACCAGUGGCGAAGGCGGCUCACUGGCCCGGUACUGACGCUGAGGCGCGAAAGCGUGGGGAGCAAACAGG
rnacentral:rRNA from 1 species